rnacentral:rRNA from 1 species
ACGAGCUGCUACGGCAGCGAAGUGGGUGAUGUCAAGCUUCCAAGAAAAGCCCUAUACCCGUUAAGGCAUGAUGGCCUGUACCCGAAACCGACACAGGUGGGGUGGUAGAGAAUACCGAGGGGCGCGAGAUAACUCUCUCUAAGGAACUCGGCAAAAUGGCCCCGUAACUUCGGGAGAAGGGGUGCCACCGCAAGGUGGUCGCAGUGAAGAGGCCCAGGCGACUGUUUACCAAAAACACAGGUCUCCGCUAAGUCGCAAGACGAUGUAUGGGGGCUGACGCCUGCCCAGUGCCGGAAGGUUAAGGAAGCUGGUCAGCGAAAGCGAAGCUAGCGACUGAAGCCCCGGUGAACGGCGGCCGUAACAAUAACGGUCCUAAGGUAGCGAAAUUCCUUGUCGGGUAAGUUCCGACCCGCACGAAAGGCGUAACGAUCUGGGCGCUGUCUCGGAGAGAGGCUCGGCGAAAUAGAAUUGUCUGUGAAGAUGCGGACUACGUGCACCCGGACAGAAAGACCCUAUGAAGCUUUACUGUAGCUUGGUAUUGUGCUCGGGCUCGGAAUGCGCAGGAUAGGUGGGAGGCUAUGAACCAUUGCUUGUGGGUGAUGGUGAGCCACUGGUGAGAUACCACUCUUUCCGAGCUAGAGUUCUAACAGCCACCCGUUAUCCGGGGGCUGGACAGUAUCAGGUGGGCAGUUUGACUGGGGCGGUCGCCUCCUAAAAGGUAACGGAGGCGCGCAAAGGUUUGCUCAGGCUGGUUGGAAAUCAGCCGACGAGUGUAAAAGCAGAAGCAAGCUUGACUGUGAGACCUACAAGUCGAACAGGGAGGAAACUCGGCUUUAGUGAUCCGACGGUUCUGCGUGGAAGGGCCGUCGCUCAACGGAUAAAAGUUACUCUAGGAUAACAGGCUGAUCUCCCCCAAGAGUUCACAUCGACGGGGAGGUUUGGCACCUCGAUGUCGGCUCAUCGCAACCUGGGGCUGAAGUCGGUCCCAAGGGUUGGGCUGUUCGCCCAUUAAAGCGGUACGCGAGCUGGGUUCAGAACGUCGUGAGACAGUUCGGUCCAUAUCCGGUGCAUGCGCAGGAAUAUUGAGAGGAUUUCUCCCUAGUACGAGAGGACCGGGAGGAACGCACCUCUGGUGUACCAGUUAUCGUGCCAACGGUAAACGCUGGGUAGCCAUGUGCGGAGAGGAUAACCGCUGAAAGCAUCUAAGUGGGAAGCCCACCUCAAGAUGAGUAUUCCCAUGGGGUAACCCAGUAAGGUCACGGGAAGAACACCCGUUGAUAGGCUCUACGUGGAAGCGCAGUAAUGUGUGAAGCGGAGGAGUACUAAUAGACCGAGGGCUUGACCU